UUUCCGUAGGUGAACCUGCGGAAGGAUCAUUACCGAGUGAGGGUCUCUCAGGCCCGACCUCCCACCCUGUGUUUUUGUGAGCUUGUUGUUUGGCGGGUCUGCCUGGAUGAGAGGCCGCCGAAAGCUCACGGAUUUGGGCCCGUGCCGGCCAGUAGCCCCCUUAAAUUCUUAAUAAACCUGUCGUCUGGGUCUAGAUAGAAUAAAGAAAACUUUCAACAACGGAUCUCUUGGUUCUG
rnacentral:misc_RNA from 1 species